rnacentral:rRNA from 1 species
AACGAACGCUGGCGGCAUGCCUAACACAUGCAAGUCGAACGAGACCUUCGGGUCUAGUGGCGCACGGGUGCGUAACGCGUGGGAACCUGCCCUUAGGUUCGGAAUAACUCCCCGAAAGGGGUGCUAAUACCGGAUAAUGUCUUCGGACCAAAGAUUUAUCGCCUUUGGAUGGGCCCGCGUUGGAUUAGCUAGUUGGUAGGGUAAAAGCCUACCAAGGCGACGAUCCAUAGCUGGUCUGAGAGGAUGAUCAGCCACACUGGGACUGAGACACGGCCCAGACGCCUACGGGAGGCAGCAGUGGGGAAUAUUGGACAAUGGGCGAAAGCCUGAUCCAGCAAGGCCGCGUGAGUGAUGAAGGCCUUAGGGUUGUAAAGCUCUUUUACCCGGGAUGAUAAGGACAGUACCGGGAGAAUAAGCUCCGGCUAACUCCGU